GAUGAACGCUAGCUACAGGCUUAACACAUGCAAGUCGCGGGGCAGCAUGGGGGUUGCUUGCAACUCCCGAUGGCGACCGGCGCACGGGUGAGUAACGCGUAUCCAACCUGCCCUUCACCGCGGGAUAACCCGGCGAAAGUCGGACUAAUACCGUAUGUUGUCCAUUGACGGCAUCCGAUUUGGACGAAAGGCUUUGCGGUGAAGGAUGGGGAUGCGUCCGAUUAGCCAGACGGCGGGGUAACGGCCCACCGUGGCUACGAUCGGUAGGGGUUCUGAGAGGAAGGUCCCCCACACUGGAACUGAGACACGGUCCAGACUCCUACGGGAGGCAGCAGUGAGGAAUAUUGGUCAAUGGGCGUAAGCCUGAACCAGCCAAGUAGCGUGCAGGAUGACGGCCCUAUGGGUUGUAAACUGCUUUUAUGCGGGGAUAAAGUGGCCCACGUGUGGGCUUUUGCAGGUACCGCAUGAAUAAGGACCGGCUAAUUCCGUG
rnacentral:rRNA from 1 species